AUAUGUAGAUCUGACUGUACCACCGCGCGCUCACAUAAAAACGUGUUCCCCUUCCGGAAUCCAAACAAAGAAUACGGAGAGAGAGACAGAGUAGAGACAACCGGUGGAGAAAUAUAUCUUACUGUGUCCUUCAGUGGUUCGAAACCCGACAGCUAUCAUGCCGAUGAAAAUAGCGAGAGCAAUGCCACGGUUGGUGCGGGACAGCAGACUUAUGAAGUACGGCAGGCCCAAGAUUUGGCGAGCAGGCGAGGUGUGGCCAGUUAUCGCCAUGGUAACCGUCGGCGGCGCUUUCCUGGGAAUGGCGAUCCGUACCAAGUCUUACGUUGGAAACCAGGGCCAUAGAGACUACUACAAACACAACGGCACAGAAGAAUAAAGAAACAUCUGUGAUUCAUAUAACUUAAGAUAUCUUGUGUAUUUCCGCAAUCAGCAGUUUGUAACUUGGUCCGUUAUUUUUUUUUAAAGUAUUCCUUAAUAUUUUGGCAAUGAAUAUUGUAAUUUUGACGAUUCCACGACUAAAAUGUGUCGAAGCCGGAUUUCACUGCUAGCGUCAUCUAGUUGCAAGGUGUACUAGGUGUUAAGAAUAUGAAAUAUCUUACCACUGAAUAGAGCUACUUCUGUGUUCUUCAAUGUAAUAAUGAGAGGAAACAGGGUAGAUAUACAUACAAGUCAAGGAGGUUGCAAUAGACCUAUAUUUCACCUCCUUGAUACAAAUGUACCGAAUGUACAUGUACACAAAAGCUAUAAAUCUAUCAACACGAAAGAUGAAUAUGGUAUAUGUUGUACCUGCUUAUUCUUAUAACUAUAAGACAACAAUACAAUAUCACGGAAUGUCAACAUCCGAUUUAAAAUCUAUUCAACUGUUGAACAAUGUUAAGCAAAUGUGUAAGCCAUAUACACUCACAUUAUAUAAUUUAUUCAGUUCUAUCUUGUCACAGAGCAUCUAUUAAAGAUUUGAUAUUUUGUACAUAGUAUUGAGGUGUAAUGAAAUAAAGUAAACUGCUGCUGGGA